GACGAACGCUGGCGGCGUGCCUAAUACAUGCAAGUAGAACGCUGAAGGAGGAGCUUGCUUCUCUGGAUGAGUUGCGAACGGGUGAGUAACGCGUAGGUAACCUGCCUGGUAGCGGGGGAUAACUAUUGGAAACGAUAGCUAAUACCGCAUAAGAGUAGAUGUCGCAUGACAUUUGCUUAAAAGGUGCAAUUGCAUCACUACCAGAUGGACCUGCGUUGUAUUAGCUAGUUGGUGAGGUAACGGCUCACCAAGGCAACGAUACAUAGCCGACCUGAGAGGGUGAUCGGCCACACUGGGACUGAGACACGGCCCAGACUCCUACGGGAGGCAGCAGUAGGGAAUCUUCGGCAAAGGACGGAAGUCUGACCGAGCAACGCCGCGUGAGUGAAGAAGGUUUUCGGAUCGUAAAGCUCUGUUGUAAGAGAAGAACGAGUGUGAGAGUGGAAAGUUCACACUGUGACGGUAUCUUACCAGAAAGGGACGGCUAACUACGU
rnacentral:rRNA from 1 species